rnacentral:rRNA from 1 species
GACGAACGCUGGCGGCGUGCUUAACACAUGCAAGUCGAACGGUAAGGCCCUUCGGGGUACACGAGUGGCGAACGGGUGAGUAACACGUGGGUGAUCUGCCCUGCACUUCGGGAUAAGCCUGGGAAACUGGGUCUAAUACCGGAUAGGACCACUGCCUGCAUGGGUGGUGGUGGAAAGCUUUUGCGGUGUGGGAUGGGCCCGCGGCCUAUCAGCUUGGUGGUGGGGUGAUGGCCUACCAAGGCGACGACGGGUAGCCGGCCUGAGAGGGUGACCGGCGCCACUGGGACUAAGAUACGGCCCAGACUCCUACGGGAGGCAGCAGUGGGGAAUAUUGCACAAUGGGCGCAAGCCUGAUGCAGCGACGCCGCGUGAGGGAUGACGGCCUUCGGGUUGUAAACCUCUUUCAGCAUCGACGAAGCGCAAGUGACGGUAGGUGCAGAAGAAGGACCGGCCAACUACGUGCCAGCCGCCGCAGUAA